AAAUCAUUUUCAUCUAACCAUGCAUCUUUAAUUUAAAACAAAAUGAUUUUCAAACAUUUUUAUUUUUAGCCAAAAUGAUUUUUAAACAAGUCUUUCAAAUCUGGACAAAACUGCCAGAUAAUCGAUUAUGUGAUUUGAUAAUCGAUUAUGUUAAGUCAGCUAAAACCGGAAUUUACAAAACAGCAAAAUAAUCGAUUAUGUAAUAUGAUAAUCGAUUAUCCUUUUUAUUCAGAUUAAAUUAAAAAUUCCGCAGAGGUCAAUAAUCGAUUAUCCUAUAUAGCAUAAUCGAUUAUUCACUGACCGUUG
rnacentral:lncRNA from 1 species